UAACGCGUAGGAACCUGACGCACAGUGGGGGAUAACGCUGGGAAACCGGCGCUAAGACCGCAUGUGGUCCGGCAACGGAAGAAAGCUUUCCAUGAAAGUGGACGGUGCUGUGUGAGGGGCCUGCGUCCGAUUAGCUGGUUGGUGGGGUAAAGGCUUACCAAGGCGACGAUCGGUAGCUGGUCUGAGAGGAUGAUCAGCCACACUGGGACUGAGACACGGCCCAG
rnacentral:rRNA from 1 species